GCGGGCGUGGUGGAACUGGUAGACACGCGAGGUUUAGGUCCUCGUGGGCUUUGCCCUUGGGGGUUCGAGUCCCUCCGCCCGCACCA
rnacentral:tRNA from 1 species